UCUGGUAAUGAUGGCAGAGAGGUCACACCCGUUCCCAUACCGAACACGGAAGUUAAGCUCUCUAGCGCCGAUGGUA
rnacentral:rRNA from 11 species